UUCAAGGAUUCAAAUUCCCUCUCCUGGCCUCUUCUAGCACUGCAUAUGAAUGUGCUGGGAGCCAGAAGUCCAAGACCACGGUGCAAUGUGCUCAUUUUCCCACGAGAAUGCUUUUGGCUGCAGUUGUCUUCUCCCUGCAUUCAUGGAGCCUCUGUGCAUCCCGUUCUCUCCUCUCAAGAGAACAUCAAGUAUAUUGUUUAUCCUGGCAGGUUCAUUUUACCUUAGUCAUCCAUUUAAAGUUCUGUCUCCAGAUGUGCUCAAAGUCUUAGGUAGUAGGAUUUAGAACUUAGGUGUAUGAACUAGUGAGAAUAUAACGUCAUAGAAUCUGGAACACCAUUUAUGUACCACAGUAUAAUCAAUAAAUACAAGCUUCAAAUAAAUG
rnacentral:lncRNA from 1 species